UGAGCCUACAUUUUAAUGGCCCAAAACAUGAUAUAAUUAAUAUAAAUUCGUCCAAAAUAUAACCAUAUUAAAUGGCCCAUUACGGUGGCUACUAAAUGUAACCGCUGGAGAACCAAACGAACUGUUGGGUAACAGUUAUACCAGUCCGGUGGCCGUGGUGGUGGUCGGAGGAAAGAAACUGGGAGCUCCCAGUACUGAAUUAACCUUCUGUUGUGAUUGCAGCGUCUCUCAAUUGCAUUGAUAGAAGCUUCUGUUCAACAACACUUCAAAUUUGAUGAAGGACCUUUGAUUGUGUGUGGAUGGUUUCUCUGAGAAGAGCCAAAAAUGAUAGACAGGCGCUCUGAAUGCAAGCUUGGAUGUGAAGUGUGUUGCCUUCGAUUUCCAGUGAAAAGAGAGGUUCAAUUGACAACUGAGUUCCAAUUCAUUGGGGAGCAGUAAGAUCCACAAAGUGUUUGUAAAAAUGACCAAAUGAGCUGAGAGAAUUCACAAGGAUAAAAUUUGGGAAAGACCAAGAUGUACCAGUCAUGAAUUGUUCAACCUUUGCAAAUCUAUCAACUAGAGAAGAAUCGGUUACAACAGACCUAUACCUGUGACGCAGAGGACCCAGUUGGCUCCAGUUGUCAUACCAAAAAGGAAGUAAGAGAAAAAGAAAUGAAAAAUGUGGAAUCUUGUGGAGUUUGGGCUAAAUUGGCCAUUAAUCUUCUCCUUCUCAGUGACGGUUACAGUAAUGGUAUCUUCAUUCGUUCUGUCUGCAACUUGCUAAUGUCCUUGGAAUAUUGACUGAUACUUUGGAUACUUGGUUUUUUCUUUGUGUGGGUCACGCUCAAUCAAUUUCGCUUGAUUAGGAAUCUUGCCGAUGUUAAAGUUCUAUCUGAAUGGGGGAUCCUCUUCUUGGUCUUCAUCAGUACCAGGCAUAGAGUUAGUUCGUGCAGAGCAGAGGCCAGUCAUCAUUACUCUUCCGGUGUCAUCAACGUAGGAUCCUUUUUCAUGCAUUUAAUAUAGACUCACACAUUUAUUAUUUAUUUUAUUUUAUUGAGUUGGAUAGUUUUUAGGGGUCCGUGUUAUUCGGAUUCCUGAGUUGUACUUUGGAGGUUUAUUUAUUAUUAUGGAUAUUUGAUUUAUAUUAGAGUUAUUAAAAGGAUCUUUAUUAUAUAGUUUUCCUUUCAGCGAUAUUAUUUCUUUUCUUAUUUAUUUUUUUUGUAUUAUGUGUUCGUUUUAAAUAUUAAUUGUUUGAUAUCCCCUGGUUUUUGGUGCGGACUUGAUUAACCCGUGUCUCCGAGAUUAGGGGUAUCACAAGUACCAAAUUGACUUUGUCCAAAAGCUUCGCCCAAACCGCCUUCUUUGUGUUCUUCGUCUGCCACAGGCUUUCACCGCCAGAAUCCUUCACCGUUAAUUGGUCGUUAAUGGUGAUCUCCGCUUUCGCUGACACUAAAAUUUUCACCGGAGUUUUGUGGUUUACUACCCAAAUGUAGGUCAGUGUAAGGAUCGUUGUUUGGACUUAGCGACGUUGUCUAAAUCAACAUAUAAUGUUGUUUGGACUCAGCGACGUUGUCGAUGGUAACGAGACUUGAGAAGGACCAUCUCAUCGUCGUACCCAAAUUAUGCAUCACCUCGAUAAGCCGUUAAAGCCACUGCCGAGCACCCACCACUGAGAACAAAACACUCGCCACCAUUAUUCAUAACGCGUAAAGCCCUAACCACAGCAAAACUGUGGAGUGCUUGGGCUUUGCACCAUCGAUCUGGAACCGGAGGCGUUGGAGUCGAGAUUAUGGCCAUUCGAUCGUAGGGUUGUGAUCACGUUUUUGAGUUCAAUGGCCGAAAUUGUUUCUCCAUUGGCGAACAAUCAAAGCCAAAUUUAAUUUGUAAUUUUUUUUAGUAUAUAUGAAAAAUUAUAUAUCAUGCCCCUCCUAAAUUUUUAAUUUCUAAAAUUAUCUUAACUUUUUAUUUCUUUUGUUCUUUAAAUUUUGUAAAUUUCUUUAAAAGAAAGUCAAUUUCAAUCAUACUCUAAUUUUUUUCCUUUCAAAUAUAUCUCAUUUUUCUUUCCUUUUUUUUUUUUUUCUCUUAAAAUUCUUCUUUUUGUGUGUUAUAUCAAUGUUAGUUGAAUUUUUUUUUUUUUUUUUUUUCAAACUGUGCCCCCUCUGAAUUAAAAUCCUAGCUUCGCCCCUGCGUAUAACCGCACACACCGACACACAUAGGAGGAGUAGAGGCAAGCAUAGGGUGAGGAAAAGGAAUCGUGUGAUUCCUUAGCAUAGGCGAGUAUGGUGGGUGGAGAAAAUUUAGUUGGAGGUGGUGAAUUUUGGUUGGAUUGGUGGUUGUGGUGGGUUGGAUCGGUGAGUGGAGGACGGUGACGCUUAGAAGAGGGGGUUAGGUAGUGGGUUUGAGUAAUGGUGGAUGAAGGGUAUUUUUGUCAAUUAACAUAGCUGAUAUUUUGUGAAUAAACCAAAUUAAAUAAUCAGGGGCAAAUAUGACAUUUAAAACCUCAAGGGUGUCAAUGUCUAAAAAAUCGUUGACCAGGAUCUAAGUGUCAUUAAAUGAAACACCAAGAGGGUGUCAGUGCAAUUUACCCUUUAAAAAAACCUUUGGCCUUUUGAUUUUUAACAUCUUCCUUUUUAAUUACCCAAAAAAAAAAAAAAACACACAAAUCUAUAAGCGUUUUCUAGUUUAGUUUUUGUAUGCGAGAAUAAAAACCUAAAACUGGCACAUUUUAAUUGGCCAACAUGAGCAUAUUACAUGGCCCAAAACAUGACAGAAACAAUAUAAAUUGGUCCAAAUAUGACCCAUAUUAAAUGGCCCAUUAGAGUGGCUACUAAAAAGUAAGCGUUGAAGAACCAAAGUAACUGUUUUUUGGUAACAGUUAUACCAGUCCGGUGGCCGUAGACCAUGGUGGUGGUCGGAGGCAAGAAACUGGAAGCUCCUAGUCCUGAACUAACCUUGUGUUGAUUGCAGUGUCUCUCAAUUGCAUUGAUAGAAGAUUCUCUCUAACAACACUUCGAAUUUGAUGAAGACCUUUGAUUGUGUGGAUGAUUUCUCUGAGAAGAGCGAGAUAUGAUAGACAGAGGCUCUGAAUGCAAGCUUGGAUAUGAAGUGUGUUGCCUUCGAUUUCCGGUGAAAAGGGAGGGGUCAAUUGACAAGUGAGUUCCAAUUCAUUGUGGAGCAGUAAGAUCCACAACGUGUUUGUAAAAAUGACCAAAUGAGCUGAGAGAAUUCACAAGCAAAUAAUAGGUGGUUGUGGUUUUCAGGGAGGGGUUCACAGAGGGGUGAAAUGUUGCUUUAUCUGAGAAAGGCCUUGGAUUUUUUUUUAAUCAAGGGUGGGGAGACUGUUGUGAACAGCAAUAGUUGGUGAGCUCCAAACAAGGUGGUUCCAAUUGACGGAAGGGGCGAUGGCUAGAAAAUAUGGAAUUGUGUAUGUUGAGUGAGUAAGUUCCUGUUGGUGAUGGGAUCCAAUAAUGGAGUCAUCAAUGGUGGAAUCAGGGAGUGGAUUGGUUGGUAGUGAUGGGAUAAGAUUGAGGAUAGAUGGUGGGAAGACCAAGAUGUACCAGUCAUGAAUUGUUCAACCUUUGCAAAUCUAUCAACUAGAGAUGAAUCGAUUACGGCUAUACCUGUGAUGCAGAGGACCAGUUGGCUCCAAUUGUCAUACCAAAAGUGAGUAUUCUUUCCAUUGCCUACUUUAUGCUUGAUUAGUUUAGAAUUGAAAAUGUAUUAACUAGAGUAGAAUCAAUUACAGCAGACCUAUGAACUAGGAAUUGAGGCCUUUUUGCAGAAAUGAAACUGUAAGUAUGCACAUUUUACUAUAAGCAUUCAAAGAAGAGAUGGUUUCUAUCUUCUACCCUUUCCCUACAAAGAACAACUCUGACCCUUGUAUUAAAUUCCAUUUUAAUCAUUCUCUGUAGGGCAAGUAAUUUGUCUUGAAUACCUAACCAAAGGAAGAAGGAAUGCUCGUGGACAUUGGGAUGAAAUCAAAAAAAUCAUACCAAUGGACUCUGUUUUUGUUAUUCCGGGAUUGAAUUCUGGCUGUGAUUUUAUUAACCAACUCAAUAUAUUCCUGCUCUCUAAGUCUACCAAAUUAAUAGGAACACUAAGUAUUGCUAGAAUCACAUGAUAAGUUGCUGAAACAAUUUAAGAAAUUGAGUUCCACUGAUAUGCUAGAUAUUGGUUGAUGUUCAGUCUGUAUUAAGAAAUUUGUUAUCUUUAUUGGUUUCUUCAUUUGUUGCAUGACUGAAAGCACAUAAUUAUCCGGGAAGAAUGAUGACACCAAACGACUAAAGAUGAAAGAGUAUGACAAGUUCUUUUGUGAGGGAGUCUACAAUUGUGCAGAAUGCGGACCCAAAUGGAAUGAUGAUUGAAAUUACAUGUGCAGCUUGUGGUGGACAUCUAGGUCAUGUAUUAAAGGUGAAGGGUUCCCUACUCCAAUGGAUGAAUGUCAUUGUGUUAAUAGUAUUUCACUCAAGUUUCUUCGUGCAGAAUCUUCUCCUCAGUAAUGGUAUCUCCAUUCUCUCUGUCUAGAACUUGGUAACGUCCUUGGAAUAUAGACCUGUACUUCGGGUUUGCGGGUAUAGGUUGAAUUCUAGGGUUUUCACCUUGCUGGUGUAGAUUACAGUAGAAUUUUGUGUAUGUUCAUUCUUUAAUGCCUCUGAGUUCCUUCUUUAAUGCCUCCGAGUGCAGCUUAUGCCUACCACCAACCUUAUGAAUAUUUGAUCUUCAACUUUUUGAACACUUACUCUCCAAAUUCACCUUUUUUGACCAAAAAAUUAAACAUAAGAAAAUGACAGUGAACACAUUGGCAUGUACUUAAGAAGUCCAUCAAGAUUAAUGGCAACUAAUUAGC